rnacentral:rRNA from 1 species
UUUAAAGAGAGUUUGAUCCUGGCUCAGGACGAACGCUGGCGGCGUGCCUAAUACAUGCAAGUCGAACGAACCGACGAAAAGCUUGCUUUUCUGACGUGAGUGGCGGACGGGUGAGUAACACGUGGGCAACCUGCCUAUCAGUUGGGGAUAACUCCGGGAAACCGGGGCUAAUACCGAAUAAUAACGAGCGUCGCAUGACGCUGGUUUGAAAGAUGGCUUCGGCUAUCGCUGAUAGAUGGGCCCGCGGUGCAUUAGCUAGUUGGUGGGGUAAUGGCUCACCAAGGCAACGAUGCA